rnacentral:misc_RNA from 1 species
AUGAUUGUGAAUGGUCGCCUUCAGUGCUGGCUCUUAUGAGCAGGUGCACGUUGGUGGCUUUCAUCCAAUUCCACACCCUUGUGAACCAUUGGCCUCUUGCUCGCUUUGGCUGGCAGAGGAUUUUUACACACAUACUCGAAUGUAAUGAAAACUAUUGUCGUGCGCAAGCACUAAUGUA